CACGUAGGGCGCAAGCGUUGUCCGGAAUUAUUGGGCGUAAAGAGCUCGUAGGCGGUGUGUCGCGUCGGUCGUGAAAACUUGGGGCUUAACUCUGAGCUUGCGGUCGAUACGGGCAUCACUGGAGUUCGGCAGGGGAGACUGGAAUUCCUGGUGUAGCGGUGAAAUGCGCAGAUAUCAGGAGGAACACCGGUGGCGAAGGCGGGUCUCUGGGCCGAUACUGACGCUGAGGAGCGAAAGCGUGGGGAGCGAACAGG
rnacentral:rRNA from 1 species